CUCUUUCAGUCCUUGGGACUGCAGCAGGAUUUUCUGCAUUCCUGCCACGCUCCUGCUGGGAAGCAUUUGUCACGUGGAGUCCCACCACCACUGCUUUCAAGCCAAGUCCAAAAUCCUUCUGGGAACAAAGUGACCAGAGGCACCACUCUCCUGGCACCUUCCCAAGGCAGAUCAGAGCUCCUGGGUGCCACAGCAGGGACAGGAACGUGGAGUCCUGCUGUGCUUGUCCUAGAUGUGUGCAGCGAGAUCUUUGAUGUUGCUCCCAUGAAGAUGUGAGUGCACUCAGAAGUGCUGGAUAACAGAGCCAGGUACUGAGAUUGUGCCUGACACCAGAGUGACUUUGCCUCUGUGGGUUGGCCUCAGUGAGGGCCAAGUGCAAGCACAGCCACAGGAACAGCACAGAGGCUGUCUCCCUGCAGAGAGGAACAGAAUGUGCCACAGUGAGUGAUGAAAGGAGGAAAGUGCCUCCUUCAGGACAGUGCCAUGACAGAGGGGAUCCAGGAGAAACUUAUCAAGAUUCAGAAUGGAAGGAUGAUGGCCACAGGGGACAGCAAGCUGCAUUCUGGAGAAUGUUCUUAAUGUCUUGGUCUGAAAAGACAGGUGUCUGCUAAGGAAGGCAGGAGCCUUCCUUGAAAUGGAAAACAUAA